GGGCGGAGGGCGGCGCGCGGGCGGCGGCCGUUGGAGGCGGCGGGAAAGGGGCGCCCGCGCGCCCCGGGCGGCUGUUUGUUAGCGCCCGUUUAGCGCCGGAGCUGCGGGGAGGGCCGCUCUGGCGUUUGUGUGCGGAGCGGACUACGCGGGGCCGCCGAGCGAUGCUGGAGAAAACGUGCCCUUCCCUGGCUCAGCGCCCGGUGCCAACAGAACACCUUGCAGGAUCCUCAGCAGCGCAGACAACACAACCUGGAUGCUCAAGAGCAGAGGAUCUAUCAACUGCAGACCAAGCAGAGGCAGAGGCAGGCAGAACCGGAGCAAUAAUGCAGCCAGAUCCAGCAGCUCAGCCAGGAGCUGGAGGCCACCGUCAGCUGCAGGAGGAGGCUCGGACACAGUGUGGCUGAGGAAAAUCACAACACCAGCUGCAUGUAAGAAACUCCUGGAAAGAAGAACAAAGCCAUCUGUUCUCCAUGUCCACGAAGGCAUGCACAAGAACUAAUGGGUGUACCCUACAUCAAGAAAGAUUCAGGUUAGGAACAGCGUCUAAUGGAGAGGAGAACAAAGCAGGUGAACAGACUGCAAGGGGCCUGAGUGUUCUGCGUCACAGGAGAUCUUCAAGGACAGAUAAACAGAAGACAAGGCACCUGUAGGUUCCCCCGUCAUAGAACUGGAAGACAGGCCAUCAGCCUCUUGAGAUUCAUGCCAGCCUUGCUCACUUCCUAAACCCAGCUUUGUUUGUACCCAGAAACUCAUUUGUCUUCUUCAAAGCCCCACCACAGGGUCUCCUUUAGCAUUCAUAUGUUACCAACAUAUCACUUGCCAGGGUGAUUCUUCUCUCUAGAAAAGUGACUGCACGCUUGCUUCCUACCAUGGUUCACCUAACCUCCAAUGAGACUCAGUACCUGCUUUGUGUUGUAAAUGGUGUCCCAUCUUGAAAUGCACUGCCUGUGUUCCUGCACUGGAUAGUAGUGUUGAUCUGUGGGAGUAUUCUUUCCUCUUUCUUGGAACCUCAUUCUUAUGCUUCUGCAGGCUUGUUCACAGGAGACUGGCUGAAGAGCACACUCAUUGCUGUUUUCCCAGGUAAAUUCAGUCUUGCUUCCUCACUAGUGGUGUUCCUUUGGCUCUUUUCUCGGGGAACGGGGUUCUCUUUGUACUGAUGCUGUGGGUUGGAGGACUCAAUGCACAGUCUGUCCUCUCCUGGCUCUCUGGAAGGGCAGACAGAGCUGCCCGAUCCCUCGUCCAGGAGCCCUAGCACUCACCUACGUAUACUGGGAUGAUGACUUGGUGCUCCUUCCUGUGUUCCAAAACAGGCCACACCUGGGAUGGUCUUGGGUAGAGAUAUGUUUCAUAGGGUGAGCAGGGGCCACAGUGCAGUGGGCUUGAGACCUGGUGCCAGGGCCUUAACUGAACUGGGCAAGGAUCAGGCAAUUGUGCUGCUCAACAGAACUGCACAGCUGACAGUCUCUGAACUGCUCUUUAGCAAUACAUCUAGCAAUCUGUGGUGCUUUAGCUGGAGCUGGUGGGUGCCUUGUUCCUUGAGUUGCUCUCAGGAACUUGCAUGUGGAAAGAAAGCUGGAUUUUCACCUUUUACUACCUACUUAUCUGGCCAUAGGUUACCCAGUAGUCAGAGCAUGUGCCUUCUCAUAUACUGAAGAGAGCAAGCAAAGCCUGGAGGUUGUUGAUGGGUGACAAAGGCUCUGAUACAUACAUCUGUAUGACAUGUGCUGCUGUGCCUCAGGCUUUGGCUUGAGCAUUGAAGUUCCACCCUUGGUAGUAAACAUACGAGUAGAUGAGGCAGAGAUGGGAGUGUAGAUUUGCUAUCAGAACUGGUGGAUUUAAUUUCCAUUCUUAGCUGUAUGCAGUUUCCUAUAUGUGCUGCUUUGCAAAUGAGUUGCACAAUAGCUAUCAAAGACCACCUAGAAACAAGAUCAGCUUGAUGCCACUUAGUUCUGUUGCACAGUGGUGGUCCAGGCAAUGUGAAGGUGUUGGUCAGACCCAUGGAAAGGUCUCACCUCUGCUCCCUGAUGCCUGUAGGAGUCUACUGCUCUUUGCCUGCCUAGUGUUUGAGCGCAGUCAUGGUGCUGGAGGAGCAGAAUUGCCUGACUAUCAACAGUUGACAUAUGAGGUCUCAGUAACCAAAAGCGGUGCAGUUUUCUUAAUAAGAUGUUGCUCACUCACAGAGCCUUACACCUGUCUGUGGGGCAGCAGCCAUUUGGAUCAUAGGUCUCAGUGGGAGGGUGGAAUCACCACACACAUAUCAUAUACCAGGUCACACAGCAGCUCCCACAGACACCCCAGCACUGCCAAUAGCUUUUAUGGGGGCUAGAAGCACAGCCAGAACAGGGAACUGCAAGUGACAUGGGAAGAUGAAAUGUGUAAUGUAUGCAGACACUGAGGCGGAACCCCACAGGCACCUGGACCUGAGAGCCAGCUCCACAACACAGAUGCUAGAGAGAAUAAAGGAAAUGAUGGAGCACCAACUAAAAUGGUCUGCAAGGCUGAUUUCUCUCCAUGUAGUUUCUGAAGGAGCAGUCUUUGGUGCUGUGGAGAAAUGGGCAGCCUCCAGGCUGUGAGGUUAAUGCAGAGCCACGGCUGUUUGUAUAGCUGCAGAGUCUUUAAGAGAGACUUGGGAAAACUAGCCUGGAUUCCAAUGAAUAUUUACAAUUACACUGCUCCAAAGCUGAAUCCAAUCACAGCACUGCAGUAUGCAGGCUUUGUGCAUCAAAAGAAAAUGAGAGGAAAGCAGGAAAGAUGGAGCUGUGGAGCUGCCUUUGGAGAGACCUCCCUGCUUGUGGCAGAACUAAAAUGCUUUAUUUCUGAUAGAAGCAAUUUAUUCUUUGGGCAUUUUGCUUGAUAUUAGAAAGUUCCUGGCUGUUUUUUGAAGUGAGAGUUUUCAGUAGAUGGUCUUUAAAUCAGAGUGAAAGAAAGAAAUAGGGAGUGUUGUAGUCUAUAAUUCUGAUAUUGCACUAACAAACUGGAAAUAAGGGAGCAUUUCCAAGCUAGAGCAGAGACACUCCCCUUACUUUCCACUUGCUGAGUCUGAGGUUACCAUGUUCAAGAGGCCUGGGCAGAGCUUCCCUUGUUAAAAUCAUGCUCCUGAUAUGAUAUUUGACUGAUCACCAGGCUCUGCAUUAAACUGGAUGAUCUAGCAGAAGAAGGAACACAAAAUGCUGGAUGAACGUUCAUUGAAGCUCGGUAUUGACCUUUUCUUUAUUUCAGCAGAAGAUAGAAAAAUGUGUCAGGAAAUCACUGCAUGCAAAGGAGUUGGAGGAUUUGUGAGUGCAAGACCCCUGCAGAAAAUGGUGUGCAGCAGAGUAGGAAGUGCAUGGUGAAACAGAGGUACUGCUCAAGUUGACAAAAGGAGCAACACCAAAAGCUCACUUGACUGUACUGCCAGCUGAUCAGCUCUUCUGCAUGCGGCCAGGGCAAAUCGGCUUGGGCUCUCAGACUUGUAUGCCUUGUGUUGGCAGCUGGUUAAACUGUAAGAAAGAGCUGUACUAAUGGAAGGGGUUGCUUUACAUCUGGACAUCUGGAUGCUUUAAGACCUAUGGUGUGCACAUCCAUUCAUACACUGGGAGGUUUUCCAGAACUCUGACACAAUGGAGCAGUUGUGGAAGACAGCAGGUAGGAGAUGGAACAAAAGCACAGGUCAGGCUGGGGACAGAAAUUAUGCUUUUUAUUCAGACAUUGCAGGGCAUGCACAGGACAUCAGGCAUGUUGCUAAAACAUGGCUGCAGCACCAAAUGCUGCCUGCUGCCCUAACACACAGGGGCUGUGAAUAACUCAUGGCUUGUUGUGGUCCUGGAGUACAAAAACACCACUACUUUUCUUUAAUUACAAAUAGUUAAGGUAUAUCCUUCCAUUCUACCAGGCAGAUGUCCUGAAGCACCAUGGCAGCAUCAGAGCAGGUGCUAUGUGAGAAGGCAUGUUGUGAAUGAAGCUACAAGAACGUGCACUUACAUUUACACCGGGUUUAUUUACAAGCACACCUCACCUGGGACAGUGACAUCUGAAGGGCUAGCCUGCUCCAUCCCCAUGGUCCCAGCAGGCAGCAUGUCUCUACACCAGAGCAGAAGACAGCAUGGUGCUGUGUUCAGACUGUGCUAAUCCUGCCAUGUGUUUUGAAGAUGAUGUGUUUCCUGUUGCCUUUCACCUUGUGGCUGCACAGAUCCCUUCUGCUGGAUGGCAAUCUUAAAGGAUGCUGAUGGGAAAUCCCAGGAAGCUGCUCUCUGAUCUAAGUCACGCUGCUGGCAGAGGGAAGUCUCCAACACAUGCAGGCAUGGCACAGGGUGUUCCCCGCCGCUUGGCACAUACUGCAGUCGAUAGCCCUCAGCAGGAUCUUGCAUUCAAUAUUAUGCUGUCUAAGAGGCUUAAAAUUGACUGCAAAGCUUCGGUACAACUACAAAAAAAUCUUGUUUUCAGUUUCGCCUCUGGUGGAUUGCUCCAGAAUGAGACAGAGCAACUUGGUAAUUUAUUCUUGGAAUAGGGAUAGUACAUCUGCACUGGAGUAUUUGGAAUUGCAUUAUGUAAUAUGAAAAGCAGUCAUUCAUUUGAACUCCCCUUGUGGGAACAGCAGCUGCCCAGACAAAUUCCAUGUGAAGAUGGGAAAUGUGACAGAAAUCAGACAGAGCCUGCUUCUGUGUGCUGCAGAAACAACUGAGCAGUUUUGCGCCCACUAGGAAUGCCUUGCAUUCUAUCUUGCUCUCCACAGCUUGUUGUAGGUUCUUAUACCAGCUCCUGACAGACCCCCAUUUGCUGCUGCAAAAAACCAUAUAGUUGCUAGUGUCAGACAAAUGCUGCUGUCAGAGCAGAACUUGACAUAACAGCCCAUUUAAGCCACCAGCCCAGGAGCAGGAAUGGCUGUGGAGAGCCACUGCAGCCCUCCUCACCCUUGCUUAAGCAUCCUGCCUUGCUCUGAGCUGCUCCAGCGGGCAGAACUCAGGAGUGUGCUGGCUCUGAUGGUCCUCGCUCAGUGCAGUGUGUGCCACACAACCCCAUUGGCUGUGACAAAACAUGGUGCCUCUGGGUCCCUGCCUUCCCUCCAGGAAGCGCCUGCAGUCCAGCACAGUGUCUCCUGCUUUAUGUUCCCCAGACAAGCUGUUAUCACCGCAGACAGCUCUGCCACUGCUGAGAGUAUCAUUUGAAAGAGGACUAUCAAUGCAGGUGACCUGAAUCCUGAUGUGGCAGUGCAGACGUGGGGUCAGCAGUACACCACUGCAACUCUUUAAUGCUGACUUUUUGGAUACAGGGCAGGAUGUGUCAGGAUCAGUCGUUGCACAUGAUCCUGGAGCACUGAAGAAAAGCAAGAACAACUGUUCGCAAUUAGCUCCAAGUAUGUAUUGCCCACCAUCUUAUCUCUGAUAGUGGUCAAGAGCUAUUAUUGUGGGCAGUGCGAGAAGGGGGCAUAGCUACUGCAGUAGCAGUACCACCCAGAAUACUUGAUGAUAUGAAGCUCAGAGGCCUCGGAAACAAAAAUAGGGUCUUCUAUUUAACCAGUGUGGGUGGAUUUCUUUUUCUCCCACAAUGAUAUUUAACUUCUUUUUGAAUGCACAUAAACCUCAAUGACCCACUGUAUCCUCUGUUAAGCAGUUUGACACUGCAUAGUGCAUAUUAAAAAAAAAACAACUGCUUUUUGUUUUGUAGUCACUACCUCCUAAUUUAUGGGGCACUGAUGGUUCUUAUAUCAAAGGGACAAUGAGAAACCACACUGAAGUCAAACUCUGUCUGCCAAACUUGAUUUCAUAAUCCUGUCACACUUUUCUUCAGCCAUCUCUUCUCUGGGCUAAAGAGACUUUCUACUUUUCCUCAUAUGGAAGAUAUUCUUUGUAUUUGAUUUGCCUUGUUGCUCUUCUCUGAAACCCUCCCAACUCUAUUUUUCUUGAGAGAAGCCAACCAGAGUUCCAUAUGGUAAUCACAAUGCAGUCUCCACUAUGGCUCUGUUCAGUGGCAUAUCUCUGAUCUGUUCUCUCUUAUUUUCCUAAUAAUUCUUAACAGUCAGUUUGCCUUUUGGACUGCUCCUGGG
rnacentral:lncRNA from 1 species